GUGCUCGCUUCCGCAGCACAUAUACUGAAAUGUCUGUCUAUGGUACUGAGAAGAUUAGCGUGGACCCUGCACAGGAAUGAUAUGCAAAUUCGUGAGGUGUUCCAUUAAAAA